GUGCGAGCGUUAAUCGGAAUUACUGGGCGUAAAGCGAGCGCAGACGGUUAAUUAAGUCAGAUGUGAAAUCCCCGAGCUCAACUUGGGACGUGCAUUUGAAACUGGUUAACUAGAGUGUGUCAGAGGGAGGUAGAAUUCCACGUGUAGCAGUGAAAUGCGUAGAGAUGUGGAGGAAUACCGAUGGCGAAGGCAGCCUCCUGGGAUAACACUGACGUUCAUGCUCGAAAGCGUGGGUAGCAAACAGGAUUAGAUACCCUGGUAGUCCACGCUGUAAACGAUGUCGAUUUGGAGUUUGUUGCCUAGAGUGAUGGGCUCCGAAGCUAACGCGAUAAAUCGACCGCCUGGGGAGUACGGCCGCAAGGUUAAAACUCAAAUGAAUUGACGGGGGCCCGCACAAGCGGUGGAGCAUGUGGUUUAAUUCGAUGCAACGCGAAGAACCUUACCUGGUCUUGACAUCCACAGAAUCUUGCAGAGAUGCGAGAGUGCCUUCGGGAACUGUGAGACAGGUGCUGCAUGGCUGUCGUCAGCUCGUGUUGUGAAAUGUUGGGUUAAGUCCCGCAACGAGCGCAACCCUUAUCCUUUGUUGCCAUUGGUUCGGCCGGGAACUCAAAGGAGACUGCCGUUGAUAAAGCGGAGGAAGGUGGGGACGACGUCAAGUCCUCAUGGCCCUUACGGGCUGGGCUACACACGUGCUACAAUGGUGGUGACAGUGGGCAGCGAGACCGCGAGGUCGAGCUAAUCUCCAAAAGCCAUCUCAGUUCGGAUUGCACUCUGCAACUCGAGUGCAUGAAGUUGGAAUCGCUAGUAAUCGUGGAUCAGCAUGCCACGGUGAAUACGUUCCCGGGCCUUGUACACACCGCCCGUCACACCAUGGGAGUGGGUUACACCAGAAGUAGAUAGCUUAACCGCAAGGGGGGCGUUUACCACGGUGUGGUCCAUGACUGGGGU
rnacentral:rRNA from 1 species